UACGUAGGUGGCAAGCGUUGUCCGGAUUUACUGGGCGUAAAGAGCGCGCAGGCGGUCGUUCAAGUCGCGUGUGAAAGCCCCCGGCUCAACUGGGGAGGGUCACGCGAUACUGUUCGACUCGAAGGCAGGAGAGGGGAGCAGAAUUCCCGGUGUAGUGGUGAAAUGCGUAGAUAUCUGGAGGAACACCGGUGGCGAAGGCGGCAUCCUGGACCGAGAUUGACGCUGAUGCGCGAAAGCCAGGGGAGCAAACGGG
rnacentral:rRNA from 1 species